CGUGAUUCCUUUAGUAACGGCGAGUGAAACAGGAAAAGCUCAGCGCUGAAUCUGCAGCUUGCUGUAGAGGUGUAGCGUGUGAACGAUGCUGUAGGGUGCUUUGACUGGCUAAAAUCCUCUUGACUGAGGUGCUUUACUCUGUGUGAGCCAAGUUUAGCUGGUUUUAGUACCCUGUGGUGUUGUUCUUGAGUAAACUUACUUGAAAGUGUAAGUUGAAAGGCUGGUAUGCUUCAGCCAAGGCUCAAUAAAGGCAAGAGUCUGAUAGCAAACAAGUACCGUGAGGGAAAGUUGAAAAGAACUUUGAAGAGAGGGUUCAAUAGUACGUGAAACCACCUGGGAUGAAAGGGAUUUUCUGCCCUAUCUCUGCUGUUAUUUCUCUGGGUGCUUGCAUCUGGAGAAAGGCAGCAGAGGCUUCUCUGACUGUGGGUGAGUAUGAACUGUUCCCUUUGGGGUUCAGCUCUAACAAGCUUGUAGGAUGAGUGGUUUAGGGUGUGAAACCCACCCGUCUUGAAACACGGACCGAGGAGUCUAAUGCUCAUGCGAGGAGAAGGGUUUUAUCCCUGUAUCCGCAAUGAAAGUGAUUUUGAGCUGGAGCCCUUUGGGUGAACAGCAGCCGUCUCAUUUGAGAAAGGCAAAGUAUGAGUGUUAGUACCCGAAAGAUGGUGAACUAUGCAUGAGUAAGCUGAAGCCAGGGGAAACUCUGGUGGAGGGCUGUUGAGAUUCUGACGUGCAAAUCGAUCCUCUAACUUGUGUAUAGGGGCGAAAGACUAAUCGAACCAUCUAGUAGCUGGUUCCCCCUGAAGUUUCUCUCAGGAUAGCUGGCACUAAAACCUACUUUCAUCCGGUAAAGCAAAUGAUUAGAGGUCUUGGGGUUCAAAGAACCUUAACCUAUUCUCAAACUUUAAAUGGGUGAGAUGCACAAUAGUCUUUGUUUGCUAUUGAUGUAUCUAUGAAUAGAGUGUGCCAUGUGGGUCACUUUUGGUAAGCAGAACUGACGCUGUGGGAUGAACCAAACGUUGUGCUAAGGCGUGUAAUAACUUGCUCAUGAGAUCCCAUAAAAGGUGUUAGUUGCUAUAGACAGCAGGACGGUGGCCAUGGAAGCUGGAAUCCGCUAAGGAGUGUGUAACAACUCACCUGCCGAAGCAACUAGCCCUGAAAAUUCAUCACGCUAUUGCAAGUAGCCUAUGCACAACCACUGUGAAGUGGACACAGUGAGUAAGGGGGUAUAGCAGUAGUGUUGAAGCAGUGUUGUGAUGCACUGUGGAGCUGCUGUUAGUGCAGAUCUCGGUAGUAGUAGCAAAUACUCAAGUGAGAACCUUGAGGGCUGAAGUGGAGAAGGGUUCCAUGUGAACAGCAAUUGUACAUGGGUCAGACACUCCUAAGGGUGAGGCCUAUGGGCUCUUAAGCUGGAGUUUUGCUUGCUUGUCUUGCUUGCUCUGGUACCCAAAAGGUAACCAGGUUAAUAUUCCUGGUCCUAGUAGCACCUACUGCUAGUGCAUUCGUGCGCUGGUAGAAGCGGUAACGCAAGCUCAACUGAGCUAAGUGGAGCUAAAUCCCGGGGAGAGUUUUCUUUUCUUUGUAAAGGAGUAGUUCCCUUGAAAUGGCUUGUCCAGAGACAGGGAAACAACUUCUGUAAAGCACUGUGGUUACUACAGUGUCCGGUGUAUUUGCUCCAUGCCAUAAAGCCUCAGUUGAGUGGACUAAUGGUUGCGCUAGGGUGUACCCAUAUCCGCAUCAGGUCUCCAAGGUGAGUAGCCUCU
rnacentral:rRNA from 1 species